rnacentral:rRNA from 1 species
AUNAGCCAGNNCUUUCCCGUGAACCGUUGUAACUAUGUUCUGUGCUCUCUUCUCGGAGAGAGCUGAACGAAGGUGGGCUGCUUAAUUGUAGUCUGCCGAUGUACUUUUAAACCCAUUAAACUAAUACUGAACUAUACUCCGAAAACGAAAGUCUUUGGUUUUAAUCAAUAACAACUUUCAGCAGUGGAUGUCUAGGCUCGCACAUCGAUGAAGAACGCUGCGAACUGCGAUACGUAAUGCGAAUUGCAGAAUUCAGUGAGUCAUCGAAAUUUUGAACGCACAUUGCACUUUCGGGUUAUGCCUGGAAGUAUGCCUGUAUCAGUGUCCGUACAUCAAACUUGCCUUUCUUUUUUUGUGUAGUCAAGAAGAGAGAUGGCAGACUGUGAGGUGUCUCGCUGACUCCCUCUUCGGAGGAGAAGACGCGAGUCCCUUUAAAUGUACGUUCGCUCUUUCUUGGGUUUAAAAUGAAGGGGGACUUUCAAACGCAGGGAUCUGUUUGGAUCGCUUUGCUCGAGUGGGCGACUUCGGUUAGGACAUUAAAGGAAGCAACCUCUAUGGGCGGUAUGUUAGGCCUUCGGCCCGACUUUGCAGCUGACUGGAGUUGUUUUCUGUUCUUUCCUUGAGGUGUACCUGUCUUGUGUGAGGCAAUGGUCUGGGCAAAUGGUUAUUGUGUAGUAGGAAGUUGCUGCUCUUAAACGCUCUAGCUUCGGUUAGAGUAAAGGAGGCAACACCAAUUUGGGAUAGUCGUUGAUUUAUCAAUGGCGCUCUUUCUAAUUGGACCUGAUAUCAGGCAAGACUACCCGCUGAACUUAAGCAUUANAAAGGGGGGGGAGAAAAAAACUNGNNUUUUNAAAAAGGGGGGAANUUNCAACGCGGUUAAAACUAUACACACAUACAUAGUAGUUCU